UACGAAGGGGGCUAGCGUUGUUCGGAGUUACUGGGCGUAAAGGGCGCGUAGGCGGCGCACCAAGUCAGGCGUGAAAGCCCUGGGCUCAACCCGGGAAUUGCGCUUGAGACUGGUGUGCUUGAGUACGGGAGAGGAUAGUGGAAUUCCCAGUGUAGAGGUGAAAUUCGUAGAUAUUGGGAAGAACACCAGUGGCGAAGGCGGCUCACUGGCCCGAUACUGACGCUGAGGCACGAAAGCGUGGGGAGCAAACAGG
rnacentral:rRNA from 1 species